GUGUGUUUCAGUUGCAACAGAUCAUACAGGAAGGCUUCUCGACUCUAGUCCUCCAGCUGUGACAGAUCACACACAGAUGGCUGGUUCAGUUACUGAACAGUACAACCCAUCUGGUCAGGGUCCUGAAGGU